rnacentral:rRNA from 1 species
CUACGGGGGGCAGCAGUGAGGAAUAUUGCACAAUGGGGGAAACCCUGAUGCAGCAACGCCGCGUGGAGGAUGACGCAUUUCGGUGUGUAAACUCCUUUUAUGAGUCAAGAAAAUGACGGUAGCUCAUGAAUAAGCACCGGCUAACUCCGUGCCAGCAGCCGCGGUAAUACGGAGGGUGCAAGCGUUACUCGGAAUCACUGGGCGUAAAGGACGCGUAGGCGGGCUUGUAAGUCAGGUGUGAAAUCCUACAGCUUAACUGUAGAACUGCACUUGAAACUACGAGCCUAGAGUAUGGGAGGGGCAGAUGGAAUUAGUGGUGUAGGGGUAAAAUCCGUAGAUAUCACUAGGAAUACCUAAAGCGAAGGCGAUCUGCUGGAACAUAACUGACGCUAAGGCGUGAAAGCGUGGGGAGCAAACAGGAUUAGAUACCCCAGUAGUC